CAGUUCGUCGAGGCAACGAAACUUUGAUACCAACGAUAUCAAUCGUCGGUGGAACUCCCGCUAGCGCCGGUGAAUUUUCUCACUUGACCAGUCUGGAUUUGAAAGGAGAUAGAUGCGGUGGGACUUUGAUUAGACCAUUCCAUGUCUUGACAACGGCUCAUUGUUUGAAUAG